UUUUUUUUUUUUUUUGCCAUUUCUUGGGCUGCUCCCGAGGCAUAUGGAGGUUCCCAGGCUAGGGGUCGAAUGGGAGCUGUAGCUGCCGGCCUACACUACAACCACAGCAAUGCCAGAUCCAAGCCGCGUCUGCGACCUACACCACAGCUCACAGCAACGCCGGAUCCUGAACCCACUGAGCAAGGCCAGGGAUCGAACCCACAACCUCAUGGUUCCUAGUCGGAUUCGUUACCACUGCACCACGACGGGAACUCCAAGAACACAAGGCUUAUACAUUUAGAACGGAUAAGCAGUGAGGUCCCCCUGUACAGCACAGGGAAGACUCCACGCAGUCUCUUGGGGUAGAAGGUGACGGAAGACAGUGUGAGAAAAGAAUGGAUACAGAGCUGUGACCAUUCAGCUAUGCUGUACAGCAGGUUGACACAACACUGUAAAUCAACUAUAUGCUAAUAAAAAUAAAAGUUAAAGGCGAGUUCCCAUCCUGGCUCAGCAGAAACCCAUCUGACUAGCAUCCAUAAGGACCAGGUUCGAUCCCUGGCCUCCUCACUCAGUGGGUUAAGGAUCCGGCGCUGCCGUGAGCUGUGCUGUAGGUCGCAGAUGCGGCUUGGACCCAGUGUUGCUGUAGUUGUGGUGUAGGCCAGCAGCUGUAGCUCCGAUUCGACCCUAGCCGGGGAACCUCCACAAGCCAAGGAUGUGACCCUAAAAAGAUUAAAAAGUAACAGUAAAAUAAUAAAUAAAUUACGUUUAAAAUAAGACUGCAAGGAUUAGAACAGAGCUGUCACUGCUGCCAGAGCCCGCUGAAUCCCAGGGUCCACACAGCAGGGCAUGUACCCAGAGGCCUGUGUCAGCCACAGAGCCAGGACCACAGGGCAUUGGCCUGGCUGGCCCGUGGCAUUGUCCCCUUGCUAUUCACAGCACCGCAUGGAUCUCUGAUCACACCAACACUGCAUUCAGACUUUUGGACAAAGAAUCUCUGCAGGUACAGGACCCACCCCAGGCGCGCCGGCCCUCUGCAGGUAAGGCUGGGCCUGAGACAUGCUGCAGCCUUUCGCAAGCAUCUCUUUCUUCUGUGCCCUGAGUCUGGGUUUAGAAGACAAGGCCCCAGCCACCCCACGGGAAGCCCUCUAGGAUCCCACACUCUGAACGGGCCAGAAAGUAAAGACGUUUGGUUUUGUGGGUACCUCUCUGUCACAACUCCUCAGCUGCCACCGUAAGUGCAAAAGCAGUCAUGGACAAUACACACGGGCACAGCUGGGUCCCAAUAAAACUUUAUUCCCCCAAACAGGCAGCCGGCUGCAUCUGGCCUCCAGACCACAGCUUGUCUAUCCCUGUCUGAUAAG
rnacentral:lncRNA from 1 species